rnacentral:rRNA from 1 species
AGAGUUUGAUCCUGGCUCAGGACGAACGCUGGCGGCGUGCCUAACACAUGCAAGUCGAGCGGAGGUAUGAUGUAGUUUACUACUGAUUACUUUAGCGGCGGACGCGGGUGAGUAACACGUGGGCAACCUGCCUCGAAGUGGGGGAUAACACCGAGAAAUCGGUGCUAAUACCGCAUAACAUACAGACAUCGCCUGAUGACUGUAUCAAAGGAGAAAUCCGCUUUGAGAUGGGCCCGCGGCUGAUUAGCUAGUUGGUGAGGUAAUGGCUCACCAAGGCGACGAUCAGUAGCCGACCUGAGAGGGUGACCGGCCACACUGGAACUGAGACACGGUCCAGACUCCUACGGGAGGCAGCAGUGGGGAAUAUUGCGCAAUGGGGGAAACCCUGACGCAGCAACGCCGCGUGGAGGAAGAAGGUCUUCGGAUUGUAAAGCUCUGUGAUAUUGGACGGAAGUGACGGUACCUUAGGAGGAAGCCCCGGCUAACUACGUGCCAGCAGCCGCGGUAAUACGUAGGGGGCAAGCGUUAUCCGGAAUCACUGGGCGUAAAGGGUGCGUAGGCGGCUGAUCAAGCCAGGGGUGAAAGGCAAUAGCUUAACUAUUGUGAGCCUUUGGAACUGGUCAGCUUGAGUGCAGGAGAGGAAAGCGGAAUUCCUAGUGUAGCGGUGAAAUGCGUAGAUAUUAGGAGGAACACCCGUGGCGAAGGCGGCUUUCUGGACCGAAACUGACGCUGAGACGCGAAAGCGUGGGGAGCAAACAGGAUUAGAUACCCUGGUAGUCCACGCUGUAAACGAUGAAUACUAGGUGUCGGGGGUCAAAGCCCGGUGCCGCAGCUAACGCAUUAAGUACUCCGCCUGGGGAGUACGGUCGCAAGACUAAAACUCAAAGGAAUUGACGGGGGCCCGCACAAGCGGUGGAGCAUGUGGUUUAAUUCGACGCAACGCGAAGAACCUUACCAGGUCUUGACAUCCCCCUGACCGGUACAGAGAUGUACCUUCCCCUUCGGGGGCAGGGGUGACAGGUGGUGCAUGGUUGUCGUCAGCUCGUGUCGUGAGAUGUUGGGUUAAGUCCCGCAACGAGCGCAACCCUUGUCCUUAGUUGCCAGCAUGAAAGAUGGGCACUCUAAGGAGACUGCCGGUGACAAACCGGAGGAAGGUGGGGAUGACGUCAAAUCAUCAUGCCCCUUAUGAGUUGGGCUACACACGUGCUACAAUGGACGGUACAAAGGGCAGCGAAGCCGCGAGGUGGAGCCAAUCCCAGAAAGCCGUUCUCAGUUCGGAUUGCAGGCUGCAACUCGCCUGCAUGAAGUCGGAAUCGCUAGUAAUCGCAGGUCAGCAUACUGCGGUGAAUACGUUCCCGGGCCUUGUACACACCGCCCGUCACACCAUGGAAGUUGGGGGGACCCGAAGCCAGUGAUCCAACCGUAAGGAGGAAGCUGUCGAAGGUAAAACCAAUGACUGGGGUGAAGUCGUAACAAGGUAACC